rnacentral:rRNA from 1 species
UACAGAGGGGGCAAGCGUUAUUCGGAAUUAUUGGGCGUAAAGGGCGCGUAGGCGGUCCGGCAAGUCGGGUGUGAAAGCCCUCGGCUUAACCGAGGAAGUGCAUUCGAAACUACCGGACUUGAGUACUGAAGAGGGUCGCGGAAUUCCCGGUGUAGCGGUGAAAUGCGCAGAUAUCGGGAGGAACACCAGUAGCGAAGGCGGCUCGCUGGGCCACACCUGACGCUGAGACGCGAAAGCUAGGGGAGCGAACAGG